rnacentral:rRNA from 1 species
CCCUAUUAUUUGAAAUGUAAAAACUAAAGUAUUAAUAGGUAUGGACUUUAAACUUAAAAAAUUUGGCGGUAUUUUAGUCUAUUCAGAGGAACCUGUUUUGUAAUCGAUAAUCCACGUUGAACCUUACUUUAAUUUAUAAAUUAGUUUAUAUACCGUCGUUAUAAAAAAUUUUAUAAGAAUAAUAAUUUUUAAAAUUAUAUAUCAGAUCAAGGUGUAGCUUAUAUUAAAGAAAAUAAUGGGUUACAAUAAAUUUAUUUAUAUGAAUAUAAAAAUGAAAAAUUUAUUGAAAGAGGAUUUGAAAGUAAAAUUAUAAAGAUUAAUAAUUUGAUUUUAGCUCUAAAAUAUGUACAUAUCGCCCGUCACUCUUAUUAUUAAAAUAAGAUAAG